rnacentral:rRNA from 1 species
CCUACGGGAGGCAGCAGUGGGGAAUAUUGGGCAAUGGGCGCAAGCCUGAUCCAGCAACGCCGCGUGAAGGAAGAAGGCUUUCGGGUUGUAAAGCCCUAUCGACAGGGAAGAGGAGAUGACGGUACCUGUCGAAUAAGCCACGGCUAAAUACGUGCCAGCAGCCGCGGUAAUACGUAGGUGGCAAGCGUUGUCCGGAUUUACUGGGUGUAAAGGGCGUGUAGGCGGGACGGCAAGUCUGAUGUGAAAGCCCGCGGCUCAACCGCGGGACUGCAUUUGAAACUACUGGGCUUGAGUGCCGGAGAGGCAGGCGGAAUUCCUAGUGUAGCGGUGAAAUGCGUAGAUAUUAGGAGGAACACCAGUGGCGAAGGCGGUCUACUGGACGGCGACUGACGGUGAGGCGCGAAAGCGUGGGGAGCAAACAGGAUUAGAUACCCUAGUAGUC